CAUCAGAGUUUUUAAAAGUCAAUUUUUUUGGGUGCUAAAAAGUACAUUAGUGGGGUGCACUUCAUAUCUGAGAGUCAAAUAGAAGCGUCAAAUACUGCUGUCACAUUGCAGUUUUAAAACUUUAAAUUAUUUGGGUGCUAAACUGCUAAAUAGUAUUUUAGUGGUUAAUAGUAUUAAUAGUGUGCUUACAGCGCAGUUGUAAAAAUUCUACUUUUCUG